rnacentral:rRNA from 1 species
GACGAACGCUGGCGGCGUGCUUAACACAUGCAAGUCGAACGGAAAGGCCCUGCUUUUGUGGGGUGCUCGAGUGGCGAACGGGUGAGUAACACGUGAGUAACCUGCCCUUGACUUUGGGAUAACUUCAGGAAACUGGGGCUAAUACCGGAUAGGAGCUCCUGCUGCAUGGUGGGGGUUGGAAAGUUUCGGCGGUUGGGGAUGGACUCGCGGCUUAUCAGCUUGUUGGUGGGGUAGUGGCUUACCAAGGCUUUGACGGGUAGCCGGCCUGAGAGGGUGACCGGCGACAUUGGGCCUGAGAUACGGACCAGACUCCUACGGGAGGCAGCAGUGGGGAAUAUUGCACAAUGGGCGGAAGCCUGAUGCAGCAACGCCGCGUGCGGGAUGACGGCCUUCGGGUUGUAAACCGCUUUCGCCUGUGACGAAGCGUGAGUGACGGUAAUGGGUAAAGAAGCACCGGCUAACUACGUG